rnacentral:lncRNA from 1 species
AGUUUUUAAGAUAUUAAAACAAAACGUAAUCAUCAUGUGAUAUCGAUAUCAAAAUUGAUUGUUAACCUUCCAACCGAGAGAUCAAAAUGGAGUGUGACAAACAUAAUCAACCGCUCCACUUGUACUGUCCCAGUCAUUUAAUGCCAUCCUGUGAUGUAUGUAUUUCCACAAGUCAUUCAAAAUGUACCGGUAUAACAAGUUUAGCUAGCGUAGUGGAGUAAACCAAAAUAGAAAACUCAAAAGAAAAUGUAGAGAAAGACAUAAAUUAUUUCUUAUCUAUUCUUGACCAAUUAGUGACCAGCAAAUCAAAAAACAUUAAAACUGGAGACAAAAAUUGCAUAGGCAUACAAAAAUCAAUUACAGAAAUAAGAAAGGAAAUAGAUAAACAUUUAGACCG